rnacentral:snoRNA from 1 species
CAUUUUUCAGAUUUACAAACUAAAAUUAAGAAUAUGUCAUUUGCUUUUGUACCCGAGAGAGAAAGAAAAGAGCUCUUCAAAAGGACAUUGAACUGGCCUCAUGGUGGCUAUUCUUUCUUUGAGGGGCACUACAG